GCAUAUCAAUAAGCGGAGGAAAAGAAACCAACAGGGAUUGCCCCAGUAACGGCGAGUGAAGCGGCAACAGCUCAAAUUUGAAAUCUGGCUCUCGGGCCCGAGUUGUAAUUUGUAGAGGAUGCUUUUGGUGAGGUGCCUUCCGAGUUCCCUGGAACGGGACGCCACAGAGGGUGAGAGCCCCGUCUGGUUGGACACCGAGCCUCUGUAAAGCUCCUUCGACGAGUCGAGUAGUUUGGGAAUGCUGCUCUAAAUGGGAGGUAUAUGUCUUCUAAAGCUAAAUACCGGCCAGAGACCGAUAGCGCACAAGUAGAGUGAUCGAAAGAUGAAAAGAACUUUGAAAAGAGAGUUAAACAGUACGUGAAAUUGUUGAAAGGGAAGCGCUUGUGACCAGACUUGGGCUUGGUUGAUCAUCCGGGGUUCUCCCCGGUGCACUCUUCCGGCUCAGGCCAGCAUCAGUUCGCCCUGGGGGAUAAAGGCAGCGGGAAUGUGGCUCUCUCCGGGGAGUGUUAUAGCCCGCUGCGUAAUACCCUGUGGCGGACUGAGGUUCGCGCAUUCGCAAGGAUGCUGGCGUAAUGGUCAUCAGUGACCCGUCUUGAAACACGGACCAAGGAGUCGUCUUCGUAUGCGAGUGUUCGGGUGUCAAACCCCUACGCGAAAUGAAAGUGAACGCAGGUGAGAGCUUCGGCGCAUCAUCGACCGAUCCUGAUGUUAUCGGAUGGAUUUGAGUAAGAGCAUACGGGGCCGGACCCGAAAGAAGGUGAACUAUGCCUGUGUAGGGUGAAGCCAGAGGAAACUCUGGUGGAGGCUCGCAGCGGUUCUGACGUGCAAAUCGAUCGUCAAACAUGGGCAUGGGGGCGAAAGACUAAUCGAACCUUCUAGUAGCUGGUUUCCGCCGAAGU
rnacentral:rRNA from 1 species